UACAGAGGGUGCAAGCGUUGUUCGGAAUUAUUGGGCGUAAAGCGCGUGUAGGCGGCUUUGCAAGUCGGGUGUGAAAGCCCUGGGCUCAACCCAGGAAGUGCACUCGAUACUGUCAGGCUAGAGUAUCGGAGAGGUUGGUGGAAUUCUCGGUGUAGAGGUGAAAUUCGUAGAUAUCGAGAGGAACACCGGUGGCGAAGGCGGCCAACUGGACGAAUACUGACGCUGAGACUCGAAAGCGUGGGGAGCAAACAGG
rnacentral:rRNA from 1 species